AGUGAACGCUGGCGGUAGGCCUAACACAUGCAAGUCGAACGGCAGCACAGGAGGGCUUGCUCUCUGGGUGGCGAGUGGCGGACGGGUGAGGAAUACAUCGGAAUCUACUCUGUCGUGGGGGAUAACGUAGGGAAACUUACGCUAAUACCGCAUACGACCUACGGGUGAAAGCAGGGGACCUUCGGGCCUUGCGCGAUUGAAUGAGCCGAUGUCGGAGUAGCUAGUUGGCGGGGUAAAGGCCCACCAAGGCGACGAUCCGUAGCUGGUCUGAGAGGAGGAUCAGCCACACUGGAACUGAGACACGGUCCAGACUCCUACGGGAGGCAGCAGUGGGGAAUAUUGGACAAUGGGCGCAAGCCUGAUCCAGCCAUACCGCGUGGGUGAAGAAGGCCUUCGGGUUGUAAAGCCCUUUUGUUGGGAAAGAAACCCAGCUGGCUAAUACCCGGUUGGGAUGACGGUACCCAAAGAAUAAGCACCGGCUAACUUCGUGCCAGCCGCCGCAGUAA
rnacentral:rRNA from 1 species